UACGUAGGGGGCAAGCGUUGUCCGGAUUUAUUGGGCGUAAAGCGCACGCAGGCGGUCAUGUCAGUUUCGAGUGACAGGUGGUGGCUUAACUACCACAGGCCUUGAAAGACGGCAUGACUUGAGGGCUUGAGAGGGACGCGGAAUUCCAGGUGGAGCGGUGAAAUGCGUAGAGAUCUGGAAGAACACCAAAGGCGAAGGCAGCGUCCUGGCAAGUUCCUAACGCUCAGGUGCGAAAGCUAGGGGAGCGAACGGG
rnacentral:rRNA from 1 species